rnacentral:lncRNA from 1 species
CAAAUCCUUGGAAUCUGGAGCUGACCCCUGAGGGGUUCAGUUUCUUUGAAAACCACAGAAGGGAAAAUGCAGUGGAGAACUUGUGAACAACUGGGUCAGGAAAAACUGUGGCUGCUUUUCAGGGCUCUGAUCUAGGAACCCCAGAUGCAAAGACAUGCUGGCGUCCUCUUGCUCAGCCAUUCACCAGGAAACAGGGCUGCUGCUCAGUGAAUACUGCAGAACUAUAGACCAAAGACUCAGAGCCGGAAAGGAGAAGUAAGCA